rnacentral:rRNA from 1 species
UACGGAGGGUGCAAACGUUGCUCGGAAUCAUUGGGCGUAAAGCGCACGUAGGUGGCCUGUUAAGUCGGCUGUGAAAGUCCAGGGCUCAACCCUGGGAUGCCGGUCGAUACUGCCGGACUAGAGUUCGGAAGAGGCGAGUGGAAUUCCCGGUGUAGCGGUGAAAUGCGCAGAUAUCGGGAGGAACACCUAUGGCGAAGGCAGCUCGCUGGGACGUUACUGACGCUGAGACGCGAAAGCGUGGGGAGCAAACAGG